GUGCUCACUUCAGCAGCACAUAUACCAAAAUUAGAACGAUACAAAGAAGAUUAGCAUAGCCCCUGUGCAAGAAUGACAUGCGAAUCUGUGAAGCGUUCCAUAUUUAA
rnacentral:snRNA from 1 species